CCCAGGGGGGGCGGGCAGGUGAACAAUUGAUUCUGCAUGGUCCAUACAGUGGGGCUGCACCUGCAGCCGUCACCUGACAGGCCAGUGUGGAAGUGAGCAGCUGUACAUUGAUGCCCAGUAAGGACACAGGGGAACAGGGUAGGGGGGG
rnacentral:SRP_RNA from 1 species